rnacentral:rRNA from 1 species
AUCGAACGCUGGCGGCAGGCCUAACACAUGCAAGUCGAACGAGUGGCGGACGGGUGAGGAAUGUCUGGGAAACUGCCUGAUGGAGGGGGCUAACUACGGGAAACGGUAGCUAAAACCGCAUACCAUAGGAUGUGCACAGAUGGGAUUAGCGAGUCGGUGGGGUAACGGCUACCCUAGGCGACGAUCCCUAGCUGGUCUGAGAGGAUGACCAGCCACACUGGAACUGAGACACGGUCCAGACUCCUCCGGUAGGCAGCAGUGGGGAAUAUUGGGCAAUGGGCGCAAGCCUGAUGCAGCCAUGCCGCGUGUAUGAAGAAGUCCUUCGGGUUGUAAAGUACUUUCAGCGGGGAGGCGUUACCCGCAGAAGAAGCACCGGCUAACUCCGUGCCAGCAGCCGCGGUAAUUC